CUAUUCGGCUGUUUACAGCUUUCAUAUGCUUCUCCGGUUCGGUGGAUUGGUGUCUACAGUAGCUGCCUGUAUAUGUGGAAGGGAAUAUCUCCUUAACGGCUUUUAACCCCUUUUAUGCCAGGGUGCCGUUACAGACGAUCCCUGGAAAAUUCCUCUUUCAAAGGCUUCAGGCCUGGCUCUUAAAAAGGCGAUCCCAGAACAGCUGGUGUCUACUCUGCUGUGUCCCAGGAAGGUUUCUACCUCUCAAACGUAUCACAGAAUUUGGCAGAAAUUAGCAGACGGGCUGAAGAAGGAAGUUCAUUCCUUAGAAGAAGUCACAAAUUUACAGGUAUUGGAAUUUUUACAAGCCGGACUGGACAUGGGCCUCAAUACACUUAAGGUUCAGCUAUAUCUGCCAUUUCUUGGAUCAAAUGGGCUGAAGAUCCAUUGAUGUUUCGGUUUUUUAAAGCAGUCAUCAGAAUCAGACCUCCCAUCCGUUCCUUUACGGCCCCUUGGGACCUUCCUUUGGUUUUACAUUCUCUUACAGAUUCUCCGUUUGAGCCUUUGGAGGAUAUCUAAAUCACCAUGCUUUCUCACAAGACUUUACUCCUUCUGACAUUAGUAUCAGCUAGGAGAAUUGCUGAUAUUAAAGCCCUCUCGGUUGACGAACCUUACAUAGCCUUCCUUCAUGACCGUGUAAAUCUUCGUCCAAGACCAGAAUUCCUAGCUAAGGUAGUAACAUCCUUUUCAUUUGAACCAGGAAAUUAUCCUACCGGAUUACUUUCCUGAUCUAGCUUCUUCUGCGGAAGAAAGGUGUCACAAACUAGAUCUCAAAUGAUGUUUAUCAUCCUACAUUCAACGUACUGCUGAUUGGAGGAAGUCCAAACAGUUGUUUAUCGUUCCCUGGGGAAUUCGUAAGGGUGAAGCCGCUUCAACUGCUACUCUCCGUUCUUGGAUCAUCACAGCUAUUACUAGAGCGUAUAGGGCUCAAGGGGUCCCUUUGCCCAAAGGGAUCAGAGCACGCUCUACGAGGUCAAUUUCUACUUCAUGGGCUGCAG